rnacentral:rRNA from 1 species
AGGGAAACCGAGUCUUAAUUGGGCGUUAAGUUGCAGGGUAUAGACCCGAAACCCGGUGAUCUAGCCAUGGGCAGGUUGAAGGUUGGGUAACACUAACUGGAGGACCGAACCGACUAAUGUUGAAAAAUUAGCGGAUGACCUGUGGCUGGGGGUGAAAGGCCAAUCAAACCGGGAGAUAGCUGGUUCUCCCCGAAAGCUAUUUAGGUAGCGCCUCGUGAAUUCAUCUCCGGGGGUAGAGCACUGUUUCGGCUAGGGGGCCAUCCCGGCUUACCAACCCGAUGCAAACUGCGAAUACCGGAGAAUGUUAUCACGGGAGACACACGGCGGGUGCUAACGUCCGUCGUGAAGAGGGAAACAACCCAGACCGCCAGCUAAGGUCCCAAAGUCAUGGUUAAGUGGGAAACGAUGUGGGAAGGCCCAGACAGCCAGGAUGUUGGCUUAGAAGCAGCCAUCAUUUAAAGAAAGCGUAAUAGCUCACUGGUCGAGUCGGCCUGCGC